AAUUACUCUGGAGAGACCAAAAAACGGCGCCGAAGGUGUAACCCGCACGCAGUGCGGCUAUCUCUCAGGCAAAGAGGACAGAGCGG
rnacentral:ncRNA from 1 species